GGAUUAGAUACCCUGGUAGUCCAUGCUGUAAACGAUGUGUGCUAGACGUUGUAAAUUUAUUUUCAGUGUCGCAGCAAAAGCGUUAAGCACACCGCCUGGGGAGUACGACCGCAAGGUUAAAACUCAAAUGAAUUGACGGGGACCCGCACAAGCAGUGGAGCAUGUGGUUUAAUUCGAAGAUACGCGCAGAACCUUACCAACACUUGACAUGUUCGUCGCGACUUUAAGAGAUUAAAGUUUUCGGUUCGGCCGGACGAAACACAGGUGCUGCAUGGCUGUCGUCAGCUCGUGCCG
rnacentral:rRNA from 1 species